CGGAGCGUAGCGCAGUCUGGUAGCGCACCUGCUUCGGGAGCAGGGGGUCGGAGGUUCGAAUCCUCUCGCUCCGA
rfam:Rhodobacter sp. SW2 ctg00042, whole genome shotgun sequence.